AGCUUCUGUGUAUAACUUCUGAACCGAGUAGCAAUCACCAUGAACAGUAGAUCUUCUUAGCUAACCAUCUGAAUAUGGUCUUCGACCUGCAGUUAGGUCUAUGUGGUCAGCUCUGAGCUUGUGCAUUUUAACAGAAAUAACGAAACAAAAAAGAAUCUGAGAGGUUACCAUGGCAGUAACUGAAGAGGAGGAGUUCUAUAAAAUGAUGGAAUUCCCACUUACCACCAAAUUUGAAAACAUACCUAUCCGUUUUCUCAACAGUUUGAUUUGAACUAAUAAUCAAGUUAUCUCGGAAGAACAAAAA